rnacentral:rRNA from 1 species
UAGACGCUGGCGGCAGGCUUAACACAUGCAAGUCGAACGAUGGAACCUAGCUUGCUAGGGGAAAUAGUGGCGAACGGGUGAGUAACAUUUAGGAAACUGCCUUAUAGAGGGGGAUAGCUCGGGGAAACUCGAAUUAAUACCGCAUACGUCCUACGGGAGAAAGGAGGCNAGAGCUUUCGCUAUAAGAUGUGCCUAAAUUAGAUUAGCUAGAUGGUGAGGUAAAGGCUCACCAUGGCGACGAUCUAUAACUGGUCUUAGAGGAUGAUCAGUCACACCGGAACUGAGACACGGUCCGGACUCCUACGGGAGGCAGCAGUGGGGAAUAUUGGACAAUGGGGGCAACCCUGAUCCAGCCAUGCCGCGUGUGUGAAGAAGGUCAUAAGAUUGUAAAGCACUUUAAGCAGGGAGGAAGAGCUAGUCAAGAAACNGNCUAGUAGUGACGUUACCUGCAGAAUAAGCACCGGCUAACUCUGUGCCAGCAGCCGCGGUAAUACAGAGGGUGCGAGCGUUAAUCGGAAUUACUGGGCGUAAAGCGGGUGCAGGUGGUGCACUAAGUCAUAUGUGAAAGCCCUGGGCUUAACCUAGGAACAGCAUAUGAUACUGGUGAACUAGAGUAUAUGAGAGGGAAGUAGAAUU